AACGAACGCUGGCGGCAUGCCUAACACAUGCAAGUCGAACGAGACCUUCGGGUCUAGUGGCGCACGGGUGCGUAACGCGUGGGAACCUGCCCUUAGGUUCGGAAUAACUCCCCGAAAGGGGUGCUAAUAACGGAUAAUGUCUUCGGACCAAAGAUUUAUCGCCUUUGGAUGGGCCCGCGUUGGAUUAGCUAGUUGGUAGGGUAAAAGCCUACCAAGGCGAAGAUCCAUAGCUGGUCUGAGAGGAUGAUCAGCCACACUGGGACUGAGACACGGCCCAGACUCCUACGGGAGGCAGCAGUGGGGAAUAUUGGACAAUGGGCGAAAGCCUGAGCCAGCAAUGCCGCGUGAGUGAUGAAGGCCUUAGGGUUGUAAAGCUCUGUUACCCGGGAUGAUAAUGACAGUACCGGGAGAAUAAGCUCCGGCUAACUCCGUG
rnacentral:rRNA from 1 species